rfam:Vigna angularis cultivar Jingnong 6 chromosome 5, whole genome shotgun sequence.
CACAAAUCAAGGUAUUGGCGUGCCUCAAUUUGAAUACAUGGCUUCUGAGAAAAACAAGCCAUGUACUUUGAUUGAGCCGCGUCAAUAUCUUAUUUUGCACU